UACGUAGGGGGCAAGCGUUGUCCGGAAUUACUGGGCGUAAAGAGCGUGUAGGCGGGUAUUUAAGUCAGAUGUGAAAACUUGGGGCUCAACCGCAAGAUUGCAUCUGAUACUGGAUACCUUGAGGGCAGGAGAGGAAAGUGGAAUUCCUAGUGUAGCGGUGAAAUGCGUAGAUAUUAGGAGGAACACCAGUGGCGAAGGCGACUUUCUGGACUGUACCUGACGCUGAGACGCGAAAGCGUGGGGAG
rnacentral:rRNA from 1 species